GGGCAUUCAGGAGAGCUAAAUGGAGAAAAGAAACUUGAGCAAACUGCUUCCUGGAACACUGAGAACCUGAAUGGGAAAUUAAGAAGAACCAGAUUCUUUCUAUUCUUCCACCAGCCAAGGUCAGAUUUCCAAACUUCUAUUGAUUCUAAUCUUUCCCAAACAGUGCUGUGGCAAUGUAUGAAAGUAAUAAAAAUAAUCCUUUUUCUGUUAAAAAAAAAAUUGCUGUUACUUGCUGUUUUGUUAUGCUUUUGCUGGAGAUUUUCCCACCCAUCUUAAAGCAGCAACUUCAGGAUGGGGGAAUCAAGCAAAACCAUGGUGAAGAGAUUCAUUUAAAGAGGACAAGUGAUUUAUUCUACAUCUCAGGAGACAGUUCCUUAAGGUGAGAGGUGUUGCCUAUGCCAACUUGCUUAUUGCCUCUUUUGAUGUUAUCUUAGCAAUAAGCUGGGGCUAAUCGUCCCCAGUUUGGGAGACUUUGAGGCAGGGCUAACUGCCACAGUAAAAGACCCAUUAACAGUAAGGAGGGUAAAUGGAUAGCAAAAAACCUAGGAGAAUCCACAGGCUUUUGUUAAUUUUAUUCUAUCUGCCUGGUGUUUCUGGAACUCUAGUUUCAAAGUUAGAAUACCCAGAAUCCCAGCAGCUGAGGAAAGUAAUAACCAGUGUCUGGGGGCGAGGGUGGGGAGGGAAGCGAGGGUAUAAAGAGGAUGAGAAUUCUUCUAGUUAUUUUCAGUUUUUACUGAAACUGAAGCUUUCCUGAAACUUUAAGUUUUUAGGAAACUUAAAGAUAAUUGUUUGUUUACUUAAAAUACAGCCUCAAGGAUACUUUUAGUUUAAAAAAAUUUCUUGACUACUUGAUUUCCUCUUGGGAAGAUUAUUAUUUAACAAAAAUAUGUAUUUAUAAACAAAAUAUUUCAGAACAGGAGUCUGUGGAGAAAUAGUCUUAAAAGGACUUUUCAGCAGUGAUAAGAUAAGAAACACUGCCCUAAAGAAAACUGUUGGCUGGGCGCGGUGGCUCAUGCCUGUAAUCCCAGCACUCUGUGAGGCCAAGGUGGGCGGAUUACCUGAGGUCAGGAGUUCGAGACCAGCUUGGCCAACAUGGUGAAACCCCGUCUCUACUAAACACACACACAAAAAAAA
ensembl:lncRNA LINC03013 long intergenic non-protein coding RNA 3013